rnacentral:rRNA from 1 species
GGAUCAAUAUGUUGGUCGUGCCUUGGUACGUACUAAUUUAUUGGUUUCUUCCUUCUGACGAACCAUGAUGUCAUUAAUUUGGUGUCUUGGGGAAUCAGGACUGUUACUUUGAAAAAAUUAGAGUGUUUAAAGCAGGCUCACGCUUGAAUACAUUAGCAUGGAAUAAUGAAAUAGGACGUUUGAUUCUAUUUUGUUGGUUUCUAGGAUCGACGUAAUGAUUAAUAGGGAUAGUUGGGGGCAUUAGUAUUCAAUUGUCAGAGGUGAAAUUCUUGGAUUUAUUGAAGACUAACUACUGCGAAAGCAUUUGCCAAGGAUGUUUUCAUUAAUCAAGAACGAAAGUUAGGGGAUCGAAGACGAUCAGAUACCGUCGUAGUCUUAACCAUAAACUAUGCCGACUAGGGAUCGGAUGAUGUUGAUUUUUUAAUGACUCAUUCGGCGCCUUACGGGAAACCAAAGUGUUUGGGUUCCGGGGGGAGUAUGGUCGCAAGGCUGAAACUUAAAGGAAUUGACGGAAGGGCACCACCAGGGGUGGAGCCUGCGGCUUAAUUUGACUCAACACGGGGAAACUCACCAGGUCCAGACAUAGUAAGGAUUGACAGAUUGAGAGC